AGAGUUUGAUCCUGGCUCAGGACGAACGCUGGCGGCGUGCCUAAUACAUGCAAGUAGAACGCUGAAGAGAGGAGCUUGCUCUUCUUGGAUGAGUUGCGAACGGGUGAGUAACGCGUAGGUAACCUGCCUUGUAGCGGGGGAUAACUAUUGGAAACGAUAGCUAAUACCGCAUAACAAUGGAUGACACAUGUCAUUUAUUUGAAAGGGGCAAUUGCUCCACUACAAGAUGGACCUGCGUUGUAUUAGCUAGUAGGUGAGGUAACGGCUCACCUAGGCGACGAUACAUAGCCGACCUGAGAGGGUGAUCGGCCACACUGGGACUGAGACACGGCCCAGACUCCUACGGGAGGCAGCAGUAGGGAAUCUUCGGCAAUGGACGAAAGUCUGACCGAGCAACGCCGCGUGAGUGAAGAAGGUUUUCGGAUCGUAAAGCUCUGUUGUAAGUCAAGAACGAGUGUGAGAGUGGAAAGUUCACACUGUGACGGUAGCUUACCAGAAAGGGACGGCUAACUACGUGCCAGCAGCCGCGGUAAUACGUAGGUCCCGAGCGUUGUCCGGAUUUAUUGGGCGUAAAGCGAGCGCAGGCGGUUUGAUAAGUCUGAAGUUAAAGGCUGUGGCUCAACCAUAGUUCGCUUUGGAAACUGUCAAACUUGAGUGCAGAAGGGGAGAGUGGAAUUCCAUGUGUAGCGGUGAAAUGCGUAGAUAUAUGGAGGAACACCGGUGGCGAAAGCGGCUCUCUGGUCUGUAACUGACGCUGAGGCUCGAAAGCGUGGGGAGCGAACAGGAUUAGAUACCCUGGUAGUCCACGCCGUAAACGAUGAGUGCUAGGUGUUGGAUCCUUUCCGGGAUUCAGUGCCGCAGCUAACGCAUUAAGCACUCCGCCUGGGGAGUACGACCGCAAGGUUGAAACUCAAAGGAAUUGACGGGGGCCCGCACAAGCGGUGGAGCAUGUGGUUUAAUUCGAAGCAACGCGAAGAACCUUACCAGGUCUUGACAUCCUUUGACCACUCUAGAGAUAGAGCUUCCCCUUCGGGGGCAAAGUGACAGGUGGUGCAUGGUUGUCGUCAGCUCGUGUCGUGAGAUGUUGGGUUAAGUCCCGCAACGAGCGCAACCCCUAUUGUUAGUUGCCAUCAUUCAGUUGGGCACUCUAGCGAGACUGCCGGUAAUAAACCGGAGGAAGGUGGGGAUGACGUCAAAUCAUCAUGCCCCUUAUGACCUGGGCUACACACGUGCUACAAUGGUUGGUACAACGAGUUGCGAGUCGGUGACGGCAAGCUAAUCUCUUAAAGCCAAUCUCAGUUCGGAUUGUAGGCUGCAACUCGCCUACAUGAAGUCGGAAUCGCUAGUAAUCGCGGAUCAGCACGCCGCGGUGAAUACGUUCCCGGGCCUUGUACACACCGCCCGUCACACCACGAGAGUUUGUAACACCCGAAGUCGGUGAGGUAACCUUUUUGGAGCCAGCCGCCUAAGGUGGGAUAGAUGAUUGGGGUGAAGUCGUAACAAGGUAGCCGUAUCGGAAGGGGCGGCUG
rnacentral:rRNA from 1 species